rnacentral:lncRNA from 1 species
AAUUCUUAAUCUACUUGAGCACAAAAUAAACAAAGCAAGAAAAGACAAAAUAAUGAAUUUUCUGUUUUUUCUCACCCAAGAGGGACUAGAUCCCUAUCAUCCAUCUGAAGACAUUACUCAGUGGUCAGAUCAUAGAGUCAAAUUCCCAACCAUUGUUGCCAAGAAGGGAGAAUCACUUAUCCGUCAUGCAUAAACCAGAAAUAAAACAAACACAAGUUCACUGAAGAUUAGAGAGAAGUAGAGCUGAAGGGUCAUUUUUAGAAAGGUAGAAUACUGACUCUCAUGUAAAUACAAAUGAAUGAAUGUUAAAGAUUGUAAUUAACUUUUAUUUAGCAAGGGGCCAGUUCACAUAUUUAUAUUUACAUGCUCCAUUGGACAAAAUCCAUUUGCAUUGCUGUGGAUACCCUUUGUGUUAAGUUGACAGAACACAUCUGCAUUGUCAUCAUCCUUUUGUAAGUUAAUUUCUGUCUCUAUGGAGUUGCCAGGUAGCACAGCUGGACAGUCAAAUGUGCUGGGUGCAGUGGCACACUCCUGGAAUCCCAGUGGCUCAGGAGACUGAGACAAGAGGAUGGCGGGUUCAAAGCCAGCUUCUGCAACUUAGUGAGGUUCUAAGUAACUUAGUGAGGACUUGUCUGUAAAUAAAAU